CGAUAACAGGUCUGUGAGGCCCUUAGAUGUCCGGGGCUGCACGCGUGCUACACUGGUGGAGUCAGCGGGUUUUUCCUAUGCCGAAAGGUAUCGGUAAACCGUUGAACUUCUUCCAUGUCCGGGAUAGGGUAUUGUAAUUAUUACCCUUAAACGAGGAAUGCCUAGUAAGUGUGAGUCAUCAGCUCACGUUGAUUACGUCCCUGCCCUUUGUACACACCGCCCGUCGCUAUCCGGGACUGAACUGAUUCGAGAAGAGUGGGGACUGUGGCUGCGAGGUUUUACCACUUCGCAGUUGCGGAAACCAUUUUUAUCGCAUUGGUUUGAACCGGGUAAAAGUCGUAACAAGGUAGCUGUAGGUGAACCUGCAGCUGGAUCAUCG
rnacentral:ncRNA from 1 species